rnacentral:rRNA from 1 species
GAUGAACGCUGGCGGCGUGCCUAAUACAUGCAAGUCGAGCGAACGGACGAGAAGCUUGCUUCUCUGAUGUUAGCGGCGGACGGGUGAGUAACACGUGGAUAACCUACCUAUAAGACUGGGAUAACUUCGGGAAACCGGAGCUAAUACCGGAUAAUAUUUUGAACCGCAUGGUUCAAAAGUGAAAGACGGUCUUGCUGUCACUUAUAGAUGGAUCCGCGCUGCAUUAGCUAGUUGGUAAGGUAACGGCUUACCAAGGCAACGAUGCAUAGCCGACCUGAGAGGGUGCUCAGCCACACUGGAACGGAGACACGGUCCAGACACCUGCGGGAGGCAGAAGUGGGGAAUCUUGCGCAAAGGGCGAAAGCCUGAGGGAGCAACGCCGCGUGAGUGAAGAAGGUCUUCGGGUGGUAAACCUCUUUUAUUGGGAAAGAAAAUAUGUAUAAGAAUAUGUGCACAUUUUGAGGUUACCUAAACAAAAAGCCACGGCUAACUCGGGG